rnacentral:rRNA from 1 species
UACGUAGGUGGCAAGCGUUGUCCGGAUUUAUUGGGCGUAAAGCGCUCGCAGGUGGUCCAUCGCGUCGUGCGUGAAAGACCCCGGCUCAACUGGGGAGGGUCGUGCGAUACGGGCGGACUGGAGGCCAGUAGGGGGGUGCGGAAUUCCGGGUGUAGUGGUGGAAUGCGUAGAGAUCCGGAGGAACACCAGCGGCGAAGGCGGCAUCCUGGACUGGUCCUGACACUCAGGAGCGAAAGCGUGGGGAGCGAUCCGG